UACGUAGGUGGCAAGCGUUGUCCGGAAUUAUUGGGCGUAAAGCGCGCGCAGGUGGUUCCUUAAGUCUGAUGUGAAAGCCCACGGCUCAACCGUGGAGGGUCAUUGGAAACUGGGGAACUUGAGUGCAGAAGAGGAAAGUGGAAUUCCAAGUGUAGCGGUGAAAUGCGUUGAGAUUUGGAGGAACACAAGUGGCGAAGGCGACUUUCUGGUCUGUAACUGACACUGAGGCGCGAAAGCGUGGGGAGCAAACAGG
rnacentral:rRNA from 1 species